AUUGAACGCUGGCGGCAUGCCUUACACAUGCAAGUCGAACGGUAACAGGUCUUCGGAUGCUGACGAGUGGCGAACGGGUGAGUAAUACAUCGGAACGUGCCCGAUCGUGGGGGAUAACGGAGCGAAAGCUUUGCUAAUACCGCAUACGAUCUACGGAUGAAAGCAGGGGACCGCAAGGCCUUGCGCGGACGGAGCGGCCGAUGGCAGAUGAGGUUGUUGGUGGGAUAAAAGCUUACCAAGCCGACGAUCUGUAGCUGGUCUGAGAGGACGACCGACCACACUGGGACUGAGACACGGCCCAGACUCCUACGGGAGGCAGCAGUGGGGAAUUUUGGACAAUGGGCGCAAGCCUGAUCCAGCCAUGCCGCGUGCAGGAUGAAGGCCUUCGGGUUGUAAACUGCUUUUGUACGGAACGAAAAGACUCUUUCUAAUAAAGAGGGUCCAUGACGGUACCGUAAGAAUAAGCACCGGCUAACUACGUGCCAGCCGCCGCCGUAAAAC
rnacentral:rRNA from 1 species